rnacentral:miRNA from 1 species
CGCUACUUACGCCGAGACUUGGAAAUUUUGCCAGGUGGUGUGUAAAACCUGGCGAAGGUUUCGUCAGACCUUGGUAUAGGGACG